rnacentral:rRNA from 1 species
AUAGAGACUCAGAGCUGCAUAUCAAUAAGCGGAGGAAAAGAAACUAACUAGGAUUCCCUCAGUAACGGCGAGUGAAGCGGGAAGAGCUCAAAUUUGAAAUCUUCAAGGUUCUACCUUGACGAAUUGUAGUUUAAAGAAGUGUUUUCUGUUGGAGUUUUGGUAAAAGUUCUUUGGAAUAGGACAUCAUAGAGGGUGAGAAUCCCGUAUUUGACCAUUAUUUCCAGCUUUGUGAUACACUUUCAAAGAGUCGGAUUGUUUGGGAAUGCAGUCCAAAAUGGGUGGUAAAUUUCAUCUAAAGCUAAAUAUUGGCGAGAGACCGAUAGCGAACAAGUACCGUGAGGGAAAGAUGAAAAGAACUUUGAAAAGAGAGUUAAACAGUACGUGAAAUUGUCAAAAGGGAAGCGUUUGACACCAGUGUUGUUUUUCCGAAAAUCAAUUACGAAUGGCUUGAUUUUGUGUUGUAUUGACCUUAUCAGCUUUCUGCACUUUUUUCGAGUCUUUCUUAAUGCACUUUUCGGUUAACAAGUCAACAUCAAUUUCUUUUGUUGUAAAAGAGUAUUCGGAAGGUGGCUUUCUUUUCGGAGAAAGUGUUUAUAGCCCUAUACUUCUACAAUCGGAGAGAUUGAGGUCUGCAGCGUAGAUCCUUCGGGGUUAGAUACACUUUGUGCUAAGUUAUAGCCUUUCAUAGACAACUUGUUGACUAUGAUUCAGUCAUGUCGCUUACUCGCUUAUGCUAUUUUACCUACGCUUAGGAUGUUGACGAUCAGCUGAGCGCG